GUUAGUUAGUUAGUUAGUUAGUUAGUUAGUUAGUUAGUAAACUAACUAACUAACUAACUAACUAACUAACUAGCUAACUAACUAUAACUAAU